GACGAACGCUGGCGGCAGGCCUAACACAUGCAAGUCGAGCGAAGACGUCGGGCCUUGCGGCGGUCGGGGGGGGACCACGGGGGGACUUGCCCUUUGCUUCGCAAUCGCCCUGGGAGACUGAGCUUCAUACAGGAGGAGCCCUUUGGGGGUAGGAUUUAUCGGCGCAGGAUCGGGGCGCGUUGGAUUCGGUGGUUGGUGGGGUAAUGGCAUGCCAAGACGUCGAUGCAUAGCUGGUUGGAGAAGAGGAUCAGCCACACUGGGACUGAGACACGGACCAGACUGGUACGGGAGGCAGCAGAGGGGAAUCUUAGACAAGGGGGGAAACUCUGAUCAAGCCAUGCCGGGGGAGCGAUGAAGGCCGUAGGGUUGUAAAGCUCUUUCAGCUGGGAAGAGAAUGACGGUACCAGCAGAAGAAGCCCCGGCUAACUACGUG
rnacentral:rRNA from 1 species